UGGGGAAUUUUGGACAAUGGGCGAAAGCCUGAUCCAGCAAUGCCGCGUGUGUGAAGAAGGCCUUCGGGUUGUAAAGCACUUUUGUCCGGAAAGAAAUCCUUGGCUCUAAUACAGUCGGGGGAUGACGGUACCGGAAGAAUAAGCACCGGCUAACUACGUGCCAGCAGCCGCGGUAAUACGUAGGGUGCAAGCGUUAAUCGGAAUUACUGGGCGUAAAGCGUGCGCAGGCGGUUUGCUAAGACCGAUGUGAAAUCCCCGGGCUCAACCUGGGAACCGCAUUGGUGACUGGCAGGCUAGAGUAUGGCAGAGGGGGGUAGAAUUCCACGUGUAGCAGUGAAAUGCGUAGAGAUGUGGAGGAAUACCGAUGGCGAAGGCAGCCCCCUGGGCCAAUACUGACGCUCAUGCACGAAAGCGUGGGGAGCAAACAGGAUUAGAUACCCUGGUAGUCCACGCCCUAAACGAUGUCAACUAGUUGUUGGGGAUUCAUUUCCUUAGUAACGUAGCUAACCGCGUGAAGUUGACCGCCUGGGGAGUAACGGUCGCAAGAUUAAAACUCAAAUGAUUGACGGGGUCAU
rnacentral:rRNA from 1 species